CGUAGGGACCAAGCGUUGUUCGGAUUUACUGGGCGUAAAGGGCGCGUAGGCGGCGUGGCAAGUCAUCUGUGAAAUCUCCGGGCUUAACUCGGAACGGUCAGAUGAUACUGCUGUGCUAGAGUACAGAAGGGGCAAUCGGAAUUCUUGGUGUAGCGGUGAAAUGCGUAGAUAUCAAGAGGAACACCUGAGGUGAAGACGGGUUGCUGGGCUGAUACUGACGCUGAAGCGCGAAAGCUAGGGUAGCAAACGGGAUUAGAUACCCCGGUAGUCCUAGCCCUAAACGAUGAAUGCUUGGUGUCUGGAGUAUUAAUUCUCCGGGUGCCGUCGCUAACGCUUUUAGCAUUCCGCCUGGGGAGUACGCACGCAAGUGUG
rnacentral:rRNA from 1 species